rnacentral:rRNA from 1 species
GCUUGCUCUCGGGUGACGAGCGGCGGACGGGUGAGUAAUGUCUGGGAAACUGCCUGAUGGAGGGGGAUAACUACUGGAAACGGUAGCUAAUACCGCAUAACGUCGCAAGACCAAAGUGGGGGACCUUCGGGCCUCAUGCCAUCAGAUGUGCCCAGAUGGGAUUAGCUAGUAGGUGGGGUAACGGCUCACCUAGGCGACGAUCCCUAGCUGGUCUGAGAGGAUGACCAGCCACACUGGAACUGAGACACGGUCCAGACUCCUACGGGAGGCAGCAGUGGGGAAUAUUGCACAAUGGGCGCAAGCCUGAUGCAGCCAUGCCGCGUGUGUGAAGAAGGCCUUCGGGUUGUAAAGCACUUUCAGCGGGGAGGAAGGCGAUAAGGUUAAUAACCUUGUCGAUUGACGUUACCCGCAGAAGAAGCACCGGCUAACUCCGUGCCAGCAGCCGCGGUAAUACGGAGGGUGCAAGCGUUAAUCGGAAUUACUGGGCGUAAAGCGCACGCAGGCGGUCUGUCAAGUCGGAUGUGAAAUCCCCGGGCUCAACCUGGGAACUGCAUUCGAAACUGGCAGGCUAGAGUCUUGUAGAGGGGGGUAGAAUUCCAGGUGUAGCGGUGAAAUGCGUAGAGAUCUGGAGGAAUACCGGUGGCGAAGGCGGCCCCCUGGACAAAGACUGACGCUCAGGUGCGAAAGCGUGGGGAGCAAACAGGAUUAGAUACCCUGGUAGUCCACGCCGUAAACGAUGUCGAUUUGGAGGUUGUGCCCUUGAGGCGUGGCUUCCGGAGCUAACGCGUUAAAUCGACCGCCUGGGGAGUACGGCCGCAAGGUUAAAACUCAAAUGAAUUGACGGGGGCCCGCACAAGCGGUGGAGCAUGUGGUUUAAUUCGAUGCAACGCGAAGAACCUUACCUGGUCUUGACAUCCACAGAACUUAGCAGAGAUGGUUUGGUGCCUUCGGGAACUGUGAGACAGGUGCUGCAUGGCUGUCGUCAGCUCGUGUUGUGAAAUGUUGGGUUAAGUCCCGCAACGAGCGCAACCCUUAUCCUUUGUUGCCAGCGGUUAGGCCGGGAACUCAAAGGAGACUGCCAGUGAUAAACUGGAGGAAGGUGGGGAUGACGUCAAGUCAUCAUGGCCCUUACGACCAGGGCUACACACGUGCUACAAUGGCAUAUACAAAGAGAAGCGACCUCGCGAGAGCAAGCGGACCUCAUAAAGUAUGUCGUAGUCCGGAUUGGAGUCUGCAACUCGACUCCAUGAAGUCGGAAUCGCUAGUAAUCGUAGAUCAGAAUGCUACGGUGAAUACGUUCCCGGGCCUUGUACACACCGCCCGUCACACCAUGGGAGUGGGUUGCAAAAGAAGUAGGUAGCUUAACCUUCGGGA